AGCUCUCGUAGCUCAGUUGGUAGAGCGCGGCACUAGUAAUGCCGAGGUCUACGGUUCAACUCCGUACGGGAGCA
rnacentral:tRNA from 1 species